UACAAUGGGUGAUACAAAAGGUUGCGAUAGAGCGAUCUGGAGCUAAUCCUGAAAAAUCAUCCUCAGUUCGGAUUGCAGGCUGAAACGGCCUGCCAUGAAGUUGGAGUUGCUAGUAACCGCAGGUCAGCACACUGCGGUGAAUACGUUCUCGGGCCCGUU
rnacentral:rRNA from 1 species